GAAGCCGUGGGACCACUCGCCGCGGUACAUCCACCUGCCCUUCGUCUCCACGCCCAGCCCGUGGCGCUUGCCCUGCGCCCAGUAGCCCAGUUACAGACCAGGACUGGAAGAAAAUAUGAAAGAAAAUCCAUGAGAAGAUGCGGAAGCUUGAUCUUGUCUUUUUAGUUCCAUAGUUUCAGAGUGUGGAAAACCAGACAAGAAUGUAAUUUGUGUGGCACAGACUUGAUGCAGGCUUUCAGGUAUCUUUAGAUAAGACCAUAUACUUUGCUGAAAUAAGGGACCACGGCCUUCAUCACAAUGUGAGCUUUUGUAGGAAGCCAUUACCAAGACCAGAGAAGUCUGAAAAGGUGCAUCUGCAAGCUUCCCCUCCCUGCCGAGCAGUGGCACAGACCUUCCGUUUGCCCUCCUCCUCCCAGACUGUGUCCUUUCCUUUCCUGUUACUUCACAACCAGGUCUCGUUCUGUGAUUUAGCCUUUCUGAUUUUGCCCCUGCAUGCUUGCACUCUUUCCUAAUAUUCUUCUUUUGGUAAUUUCUACUUGUGUAUACUUCCUUCUGGUGUUUCAGGAUCAUUGAAGAGCUCAGUGUAGUCAAGUUUGUCUCAUAAUACUCAUUUUCCCUUCAUGUUGGGGUAGUUUGAAUCUAUGUCCUUCACAUUAUUUCUUUAAGAAAACAAAUUGGUCUUUGGGGAGUUUAUAAUAAAAUAAAAUCUAGUAGAGAAAAAUCUAAGUUUGUGGUUUUUACAAGACAGUCUUGGCCAACACUGGCUUGCGAUAUUCUCAUGCCCCCAGACCUCUGUGCUGCCAGCACAACUGUUUCUAUAGUGCACUGUGAUUUGGAUCAGGGAACCAAUCCAGCUUAAAAAUAAUCCAGCAAAAAAGGUUUAUUUUUAUUUUGCUCUUAAAGCUGAACCAUUUGCUCUCUUUGCAGAGCAUCUAUACUAACAAUUGACCUAAUGCAAUUGAAAACAUCCAGAAAAACUGACAGCUUUACUCUUCACCUCCUUUAUUUUUAAUUCCAUUCUCUUCUUCAUAGGAAUAGCAAAUAAUACUUUCUCAUAAGUUUUCACCCAAGUUGCCUGCAGUCUUGCAUUUUCAGUUUACUCCCGCUAGGUAAAACGAUAUUCCAGAUUUGACAUAGUCACUCAUCUGCUGGGUAAAGAAAGUUUUCUCUGUAACAUGGUACUGCACUUGCCCUGUAGCACCUUCUCUGCAGGUCCCCCAUCUUCAUCCUGUUCUGUUCUUUGAAGAACUAGCAGCAGCACCCAGUGGUCUUGAGUCCUGUGCCGUCAUGUCCUAUGGAUUUUCCAGGUGCCUGAGGAGGUCCAUAGAAUGAUUGAAGCUUUUCCUGUUGUUCUUUUGCUCCUGGAACAUUUGUAGUAGCUCUCAUCUCAGGUAAGAAUUGGGAUUGUUUCAUGUUUUCUUAAUGAUGUGCAAAGCAUCUCUGUCUCCUGCCUGGAUGUGUAUUUUGUGGCAUUGCUUUUUUUAAAAAUAUAGGGAGGUCAUACCUUUAAGAUCUUAAUUCUUCUGAUAAUUUUCAUGUAAAUUAGCUAAUGAGUGAAAUAAUUCUCAUACAUGUUGCUUUAAUACCACAGGAAAAAAAAAGUUCUUCAGCUUUACUCAGUGCUCACCAUGCUGCCAGUUUUUUUUAAUACCUCUAUGGAGAGACAUAUCUUCCCAGAGAUCCAGGCCUUUUGUCAUGCUUUAGGCCACUUAUUCAUUGAAAAUCCUCCUUCAUGAGUUGGAAAUUUAAUUGCCAGUGAUUACAGACCUUCAGAGAGAUUUUGGUAAAGUGAAUUUCUCCACCAGACAGACAGUCCCAGCUCUGCAGUUUCUAUCUCCUGCAGCAGGGCACAGCUCUGAGUCACACUGGGAACGCCUCUGCAAUGGUGAGUGCACCCUGAGAAGGCACCCAUCCCAGCUUCCACAGGGGCUGCGUUUCUCCACCUGCUCCCUGGACCUUGCAGGUCCUUAUGGUCAGCCUUGAUUUUAUCUGACAGUUUUUGUCAGACAUAGGGAUGGGGCCUUAUGUCUGUCUGCAUUCAUACCUAGUUCUAUCUGAACAUGGGGUCUGCUUUGUGAAUUUCUUUAGGGUUUUUUUGGUUUUUUUUCUUCUUAUUUUCUUUAAAAGUGGUAAGUGAAUGUUAAAUAACAAUUACAUAUGAUUAUUAUAAAUAAUUUUAAAAUACAUGUUGAUGGCCAUGGUUAUUAGCAUGCACUCUAGUUAUGCUGUGCUACAGCAGAACAAAACAGCUGUUGCAUUUCACCAAUGAACCAGUAUUGGUGCUUAUACCUUGGAUAGUUGAUUAACUUUAUGUAAAAAUCUAUCAUUUUCUGCUCAGUGAAUAAAUUUGUGAAAUUAAUCUACAAUCAUUGUAAUUCUCAAUAUGAAUUAUAGGUAUAAAACCUUGGUGGGUUUUGUUUCUUUGUUUGCUUUAUGUAUCAUGCUGGAAAAAACAAGGCAAGUGCUACAGAGAUACAAAGCUAAAGAGAUGUAAAAGCUGAGCUUUUUGCUCUUUGACAAUGAAUAUAAUGUGGAUGUACAGUGAAGUCUCUUUUGAGAUUUUUUUCCUGUUAACAAAGUCCUCAAUAAGGGAAUUAAGCUUUAGAGGACACUACCAUGGGGCUAAGCAGGCUGCAAAGAGCUUUAAUAGAAAGCCACUCCCUCAAUCUGCUUAAACUUUGGUGAGGAUAAUACGGCUUACUCUAACUGAUUUUUGAUAAAGCAGUGAAAGACAGACAGAUGCUUGUUAUGUCUGAGUUGAUAAAUACACCCUGUUGAUAAGUUUCUUGUGUUUAUCCAGGAAUUUGUCCUGGGAAAGAAAUUGUUCUCACCACGGCUAUCCUGCAAGUUAAACACUACAGGUUGUACAGGUACAGUACAGGUUGCGUUUCGUCAGUCACAGGAAGUGCCUGGCUCAUUCUGCUGGCUACUGAGUGAGCUUCAGUUUGUAUACCUAAAAGCUGCUUGCCUGAAUUUGGAAGAGGUGAUCCUAUCUGCAUGAUUGCUUCCAGAAAUGCAGUCUUUUUCUCCCCUGAUUUCACAGUUUUCAGAAGACACAGCUGUUGUACACAUUUGGAGAUGCUGUGCAGAGCUGGAGCUACUGUGUUGCCACCAACUUGAUUUAAUAUUUGAUUUAUGGGGACAAAUAGGCUUGUGCCUCCAUACUAAUUUGAAUUAUUUUAUAUAGUAAUACUUUUCUUUAUCUUCUUAUUGUUUAAUAUUUUUAAAAUGUAACCUAAGUGUUUAACGCACAUAGAAAAUAUUUAACACUGUUAUUGAAAUAAGUGUAUCUGUGUAUGUUCAUGUGUAUGAUGAUGUUGUUAAAAUAUAAAUCUUCAAUAUGCAAGUAAGCUUGCUACCAAUAAAUUUUGUUUUAUUUCAUCCUG